rnacentral:rRNA from 1 species
GAUGAACGCUGGCGGCGUGCCUAAUACAUGCAAGUCGAGCGAACAGACGAGGAGCUUGCUCCUCUGACGUUAGCGGCGGACGGGUGAGUAACACGUGGAUAACCUACCUAUAAGACUGGGAUAACUUCGGGAAACCGGAGCUAAUACCGGAUAAUAUAUUGAACCGCAUGGUUCAAUAGUGAAAGACGGUUUUGCUGUCACUUAUAGAUGGGUCCGCGCCGCAUUAGCUAGUUGGUAAGGUAACGGCUUACCAAGGCAACGAUGCGUAGCCGACCUGAGAGGGUGAUCGGCCACACUGGAACUGAGACACGGUCCAGACUCCUACGGGAGGCAGCAGUAGGGAAUCUUCCGCAAUGGGCGAAAGCCUGACGGAGCAACGCCGCGUGAGUGAUGAAGGUCUUCGGAUCGUAAAACUCUGUUAUUGGGGAAGAACAAAUGUGUAAGUAACUAUGCACGUCUUGACGGUACCUAAUCAGAAAGCCACGGCUAACUACGUG